rnacentral:rRNA from 1 species
GAUGAACGCUGGCGGCGUGCUUAACACAUGCAAGUCGAACGGAAAGGCCCAAGCUUGCUUGGGUACUCGAGUGGCGAACGGGUGAGUAACACGUGGGUGAUCUGCCCCGCACUUCGGGAUAAGCCUGGGAAACUGGGUCUAAUACCGGAUAGGACAGUGGUUUGGAUGCCAUUGUGGAAAGAUUUUUCGGUGUGGGAUGAGCUCGCGGCCUAUCAGCUUGUUGGUGGGGUAAUGGCCUACCAAGGCGUCGACGGGUAGCCGGCCUGAGAGGGUGUACGGCCACAUUGGGACUGAGAUCCGGCCCAGACUCCUACGGGAGGCAGCAGUGGGGAAUAUUGCACAAUGGGCGCAAGCCUGAUGCAGCGACGCCGCGUGGGGGAUGACGGCCUUCGGGUUGUAAACUCCUUUCGCUAGGGACGAAGCGUUAUGUGACGGUACCUAGAGAAGAAGCACCGGCUAACUACGUG